GUCAUACUCCCUCCAUCCCAAAAUUCUUGUCUUAGAUUUGCCUAGAUACGGAUGAAUCUAAUACUAAAACGUGACUUGAUACAUCCGUAUUUAGACAAACCUAAGGCAAGAAUUUUGGGACGGAGGGAGUACUAU
rfam:Triticum aestivum genome assembly, contig: Triticum_aestivum_CS42_TGACv1_scaffold_320642_4BL